rnacentral:rRNA from 1 species
GCGAUGAAAUGUGUAGUGAUGCGGGAGGUAUUACCGGUGGAUGAAGGCGGCCCCCGUGCACGACGACUGACGCUCAGGUGAGAAAGCGUGGGGAGCAGAACAGGACUUAGAUACCCUGGUAGUCCACGCUGUAAACGAUGUCGAUUUGGAGGCUGCGCCCUUGAGGCGUGGCUCUCCGGAGCUAACGCGUUAACUCGACCGCCUGGGGAGUACGGCCGCAAGGUUAAAACUCAAAUGAAUUGACGGGGGCCCGCACAAGCGGUGGAGCAUGUGGUUUAUUUCGAUGCAACGCGAAGAACCUUACCUACUCUUGACAUCCAGAGAACUUUCCAGAGAUGGAUUGGUGCCUUCGGGAACUCUGAGACAGGUGCUGCAUGGCUGUCGUCAGCUCGUGUUGUGAAAUGUUGGGUUAAGUCCCGCAACGAGCGCAACCCUUAUCCUUUGUUGCCAGCGGUUCGGCCGGGAACUCAAAGGAGACUGCCAGUGAUAAACCGGAGGAAGGUGGGGAUGACGUCAAGUCAUCAUGGCCCUUACGAGUAGGGCUACACACGUGCUACAAUGGCGUAUACAAAGAGAAGCGACCUCGCGAGAGCAAGCGGACCUCAUAAAGUACGUCGUAGUCCGGAUUGGAGUCUGCAACUCGACUCCAUGAAGUCGGAAUCGCUAGUAAUCGUAGAUCAGAAUGCUACGGUGAAUACGUUCCCGGGCCUUGUACACACCGCCCGUCACACCAUGGGAGUGGGUUGCAAAAGAAGUACUUAGCUUAACCUCGGGAGGGCG